rnacentral:tRNA from 1 species
GGCUCGUUGGUCUAGGGGUAUGAUUCUCGCUUUGGGUGCGAGAGGUCCCGGUUCAAAUCCCUGGGACGAGCCC